AAUGAACGCUGGCGGCAGGCCUAACACAUGCAAGUCGAACGAGUGGCGGACGGGUGAGUAAUGUCUGGGAAACUGCCCGAUGGAGGGGGGUAACUACUGGCAACGGUAGCUAAUACAGCGUCUCAUCGGAUGUGCCCAGAUGGGAGUAGCUUGUAGGUGAGGUAACGGCUCACCUAGGCGACGAUCCCUCGCUGGUCUGAGAGGAUGACCAGCCACAUUGGAACUGAGACACGGUCCAGACUCCUACGGGAGGCAGCAGUGGGGAAUAUUGCACAAUGGGCGAAAGCCUGAUGCAGCAAUGCCGCGUGUGUGAAGAAGGCCUUCGGGUUGUAAAGUACUUUCGGUGGGGAGGCGUUACCCAAAGAGGAAGCCCCGGCUAACUCCGUGCCAGCAGCCGCGGUAAUAC
rnacentral:rRNA from 1 species